AUGAGCUUCAGGGGAAGAUCGCUAGAUGUGUUCCUCAAUUCAAAGAAGACAAAAGCUAGGCAGAAGUUACCUGUGGAAGACGAGACUCCUCCCAGCAUGGAUUUCUCCAGGUCUCUGGAUUGGCUGGAACGCCUGCGGGUAUCUCCUAUGGCUGGCGGCUGGAAUCUGGCUUUCAUCAGUGCUAAAGACCCAGCCCUUAGGAAUCUCUGCAAUAAGAAUCAGGUGUUGGAUUCAAGAACCAUACCUCGUCCUCACAAGAGAAAUUUAUCUUUCUUAGGACCCUGUCUGUGGCAGAAAACACACGUGAUUUAUCCUUAGAAGAAAAGGAACUGAGUCUUCGCUCUACAACGAGGAACCGUGGGAUUUGGGGAAAACUAUUUAUCUGAGCUUCAGUUUCCUUGUCUGUAAAAUGGGCAUAAUAACAUCUCUCCUGGAGUCAUCACAAGCGUUCUGUGAACAUUAAAUGGUAUGGGGAUGGCUUUUAUAAAAGGAUAAGGCACACAAUAGUUAAACAACAUAUUUACUCACCUAUUCUUCCAGGUGGAGUUCGGUGCCUUUUCAAAGAAGAUUUGCUGAGGAAGCCAUGCCUUGGAGAAAGCUGCCAGUAUUCAGAGCACAUCUAAAACCCAAUCCUGCCUCUUCAGCUGGGCAGCACAGAUUCAUUGCUGAGACAGAAAGAGCACAGGUUAUCACUCAGGCGUUGGGCCUAGCUGCCUUGCAGAAUAGAUACAUAGUCAGCUCUCUGUACCUGUGGGUUCGGUAUCCAUGGAUUCAACCAAUUGCAGAUCAAAAAUAUUUUUAAAAAUGUGUCUGUAUUGAAUCUGUACAGACUUUUUCUUGCCAUUAUUCCCAAAACAUUAGAGGAUAACAGCUCUUUACAUAGCAUUUACAUUGUAUUAGGUAUUAUAAGUAAUCUAGAGAUGAUUUAAAGUGUACAAGAAGAACAUAAACAUCCAUGGAUUGUGAUAUCUGUGGGAGGUCCUGGAACCAAUCCACCACGGAUACCAAGAAACGACUGCACAUGCAUAAUUUCUACUGUUCAGUUCAGCAGGGCCACUUGCCCCGGUCAGAGCACCUUUCCAGCCCUUGCUAAUUACAGGAGGAUUUGAUGACUACUCCAGAUGAACCAGUUGAGGGUCUACUCUCAUCCAUCCUGCAUAGCUGUACCCCAUGGGAAUAAAAUAAGGGGAGUCUGUUUGUGCUCCUGGUGGAGGUGAAGGAGGAAGGUUCCAAAAAAUGGGCUAACAUGGCCCAUUAUUUAUAGACCACCCUACAGACUUCCACCACCUGGAAUUCAUAGCCCCCUUGACUGGCGUUUCCACCUUCAAGUCCUGUUACAACCCUCCCAUCUCGCCUUCCUCCCCAAGGCACUGCGCCCUUGCCCCUGGUCAUAUUUGCUGUCCUCUGCUUUGAUGAUUCUUCUUG
rnacentral:lncRNA from 1 species